rnacentral:rRNA from 1 species
UAGGGAAUAUUGGACAAUGGGUGAGAGCCUGAUCCAGCCAUGCCGCGUGCAGGAAGAAGGCGUUAUGCGUUGUAAACUGCUUUUGCCAGGGGAUAAAAUGACCGUGCGCGGUUAAUUGAAGGUACCUGGUGAAUAAGCCACGGCUAACUACGUGCCAGCAGCCGCGGUAAUACGUAGGUGGCAAGCGUUGUCCGGAUUUAUUGGGUUUAAGGGGUGCGUAGGUGGCCCUGUAAGUCAGUGGUGAAAUAUCUCAGCUUAACUGAGAGGGUGCCAUUGAUACUGCAGGGCUUGAGUACAGAUGAGGUAGGCGGAAUUGACGGUGUAGCGGUGAAAUGCAUAGAUAUCGUCAAGAACACCGAUAGCGAAGGCAGCUUACCAAGCUGUAACUGACACUGAGGCACGAAAGUGUGGGGAUCAAACAGGAUUAGAUACCAUGUAGUCCCUGAGCGGGCUGGCAAGGCGCAU